UUUAGCUUCUUUCCCAGAAGGCAAUCUUUAUCUAAAUGGUCACCUUUACCCAUUCCAUCUAAAUUAAUUUUAACCAAGAAUUUCCAUUCAGCAAAA